rnacentral:rRNA from 1 species
CCUACGGGAGGCAGCAGUGAGGAAUAUUGGUCAAUGGGCGGGAGCCUGAACCAGCCAAGCCGCGUGAGGGAAGAAGGUACAGCGUAUCGUAAACCUCUUUUGUCAGGGAACAAAGGCGGGGACUAGUCCCCGGAUGAGGGUACCUGAAGAAAAAGCAUCGGCUAACUCCGUGCCAGCAGCCGCGGUAAUACGGAGGAUGCGAGCGUUAUCCGGAUUUAUUGGGUUUAAAGGGUGCGCAGGCGGCCUGUUAAGUCAGCGGUAAAAGCCCGGGGCUCAACCCCGUCGAGCCGUUGAAACUGGCGGGC